rnacentral:misc_RNA from 1 species
AUGGACAAUGAGCAACCGCACCAGGAACUGGUCAAGUGCGUGGUCGUGGGCGACACGGCAGUCGGAAAGACCAGACUGAUCUGCGCCAGGGCCUGCAACAAGCACGUGUCACUGUCGCAGCUCCUGACCACACACGUGCCCACAGUCUGGGCUAUCGACCAGUAUCGGAUUUACAAAGAUGUGUUGGAACGAUCAUGGGAGGUAGUAGACAACGUAAAUGUGUCGCUACGUCUCUGGGACACAUUCGGCGAUCACGAGAAGGAUCGACGUUUCGCAUACGGCAGGUCCGACGUCGUGUUACUAUGCUUCUCCAUAACCAACCCCGUUUCCUUGCGAAACUGCAAGGUAAUGUGGUAUCCCGAGAUAAGGAGGUUCUGCCCGCAGACACCAGUCCUGUUGGUCGGAUGCAAAAACGAUCUGCGGUACAUGUAUCGGGACGAGACUUAUCUCAGUUACUUCCGCGACCGCAGUCCUUUUGUAAGGGCUACGAGAAAGAGCGACCUGGUGAUGCCGGAUCAGGCGCGGGCGGUGGCGCGAGAGCUUGGCGUGUGCUAUUACGAGACAAGCGUUUUCACUUAUUACGGUGUAAACGAGGUGUUUGAAAAUUCGAUACGCGCCGCCUUGAUCGCACGUCGCCAACAACGCUUCUGGAUGACGAAUUUGAAAAGGGUGCAAAGACCUCUCUUGCAGGCGCCAUUCUGUCCACCGAAACCGGUACCGCCGGAAGUGUGCCUGGCUGCGAGUACCUAUGAGGAGAACAUGAAGAGUCUAUGGACCAGGCCGGUCCACACGGACGUCACUCUGAUCGCCGGCAAUUGCACGUUCUUGGCUCACCGGUGCUUGCUCGCCGCUGCGUCGCCCACGUUCCAUCGGCUGUUCUCAGUGGAACUCGCCCAUGAACUGACGCCACGUAGCUCCAGCGAGUCCAGCAUGGUGAGCACUUUCGGAGAGGCCACCGUCGGUGACUUCAACGACGAUACCGAGUGCCUAAUUCGUAUCGAUCAAAGCAAACCCGCAAAAGUCUGGGAACAACUUAAGCGACGAUCGAGUUUUCAAGUACUGCCGACGAUGGAUAAUCAGAGGAAGACUAACGGCGCGACCAGAGAGCUGAAUCAUCCUGCCUUCCAAAAUAUUCGUAUAUGUCUGACUGAGAACGCGAACGGGGUGCAGCAGCCGAUGACGGUGGUCACGCUGUCGAAGCUGAUCACGCCACAGGCGAUGCAGCAGUGUUUGCAAUUCAUUUACACGGGCAGCUUGGAUAAACGGUAUCACGAUCUGCAAACAGCUCCUAUCGGGCUUCUACUGGAGAUCAGGCAAGCAGCCGAAUUCCUCGAGUUACCACAGUUACUCAUGGUACUUGGUAGCAUACAGACGCGGGAGCAGUUCGUCAAUAGCGAUCUCAAUAACCGGUGGAAGCAGGUAAUCAGGCAGCGGCUGGAGGACAUUUGUCUGGAGCAAGGUCUGUUCGCCGACGUGAUGUUCGAACUGGACGAUGGCAGCGUACCGGCACACAAAGCGAUUCUCACUGCCCGAUGCGACGUGAUGAAAGCCAUGUUCUCCGGCGAUUUUCGCGAAAGCAGCGCAAAAGUCAUAGUCUUUCCUGGGGUACGGGAGUACACAUUCCACAAGUUGCUUUGCUACCUUUACACUGACGAGGUGCCGGCAAUUUCUUCGGCCAGAUGUCUGAAUCUGCUGGAACUGGCCAACAGGCUCUGUCUUCAACGAUUGGUGAAUCUAGUCGAGAGCAGAGUGAUCGAGGAUCUUGAGCGGCUUUCGCAAAACGAAGGGAAAGAGGCCAUCGAAAACUGCCUGAGGCUGUUGGAGCCGUGCAAGCUGCAUAAUGCUGAUCAGCUGGCCGAUUGGUGCAUGAAUCAUCUUUGCGUAAACUAUAAUAAGCUGUGCAAAAUGUCACCUCGCAACGUGCGAUUGCUUCAUCCGGAGAACCAGGAAUAUCUGAACGAGCACCGAUGGCCACCAGUCUGGUACUUGAAGGACUACGAUUACUACCAGAAGUGUCUGGCGGAACAGGAUCGCGAAAACAAGCCGACGCUGAAGCGGAACCGCAACCAGUCCGGCUGUCUGUGUUUCUCAGGCUCGAGCAAGGCCAGACGGGAGGGUAACGCCGGAAACGGCGGUGGCGCGACGUCGACGACGUCGAACGAGGCGCCCGCGGAUCGGCCGCUUUUCGAUGCCUCCACCGAAUCCGGCGAGCAAGCCGUAUGACAGGAACCAAGCGGCCUCAGCCGCUCCGUCAGAUUCAUCCUGGUCCUACCUGUGCUCAUGGUCUUCAUAUGCACUAUUUUUACCAUUUUGAUACUGCUACAGAUUUAUACUUAAGCGGACCGCAGACACACCCCGAUGAGACUACGCGUAAACGCACGUGACACGCAAAAUGCGGCGACACUCGAUACGAACGAACAUAUCCAUAAGCAUAAGCAAUCAUUUCACGUAUGUACAAAAACUGUAUCUUCCCGAAACAUCCCGAAGAAGUGGCAAUAUCUCUACGAAGAAUGGGAAAUUAAGGAUAGAUGCAAACGUAUGAUUUUGUUUCUCGUACAUCAGAGGAUAUAGCGAUUAGAGUCACCAAUAAUGCUGUUAUAUUUAAUCAUAGUUUUAAAAUAUAUCUCCACGUGGGAAGUACGAAGUCAUAUCAAGACGUUAAGUAAGGAACACGAGGGAAUCAGGAGACUAAAAGGGGAUGAGAAAAGACGUAGAAUAGAAAUAGUUGCGUAGAAUUCUUUAAAGUUAAUCGACUCAUACUCAUUAUACGACGAACGUGUACACGCAAUAUAUUUACGAGCAUCCAAUAACGCCUGUUCAUUUCUGCGAAGCAGGAUCAUCGAUUAAAUCAGGAAAUUACAAUAGAUUCGAUGCGUCCACUCAUCGUUGUCCCUGAUUGUAUGUGUCUUCACAACAGAAAUGUGUGAUGUGACUAUCACGAGUGCGCCGAUGCAUUUGUAACAUGCGAAUGUCGCCGCCCUUCGCUGAUGCAAAGUCGUUUUAUCGAGGAAGACCAGGCACGCGUAUACGUUAGCGUCGAUCGCGGUAUGAUCGUCCUUUUAAUAUAAUUUCGUGCGUUCUCAGGGUGCGUUCCGAGUCGCGCAUAUGCGCGCAUUUAUCUAUAAUGAAUGUUACGUAUAAUAUAUAUAAUGCGCGCUUCAUGCGCGACUCGGAACGCACCCUCACAAAGACGAGCGACCAUUAUCGCGGCAAUUAUUGCGACAAUCAUCCGCGAUCAACCGCUUGACAAUUGCGGUAAUUGUGCGCCUGCGAUUUCUAAUCUUUUUGCAAAACUGAAGCGUUGAGCAACGAGACGUGAAUGUUGCCAGGUUUGACGCGAGAGCGCUGUACGCAAAAAAAAGUAGGAAAAAAAGAGAGAGGAGUACAUACACAGCGCGUCGUCCAACAUUGUCGUCCUGUCAUCGAUGCGUGUUAGACUGAAGAAACGAGCAAUAGCUUUAGUUUGCUUUAGCGCAGCUGAUAAGCGAAAUAUGAUAAGUGAAACGCAGCGAAUCUCAGCCUGCCAAAGUUCAUCACCCUUUUUCGAUUCAGUCAAUCUGUUACUAUCGAUGCAGUUAAGCAAAUGGAUUGGCAUUACACGACGAUCAUUGGCAACUGGCCAAACUGCUGUCCUGUGCGUCGUUUAAAAUGGAAACCACUAAAGAUUUUGGUGAUAGACUUUGGGAAAUCUGACCGAUUUCACGCUGUUUUGCAACACAACAGUGUUGGGCAUUUACGGAUACGGUAUCUAGGUAAACGACAGUUAUUGACCACUUGAAAUACGUACAUGUCGAACUUGUCAAAUGGUCGACUCGUGGUACUCGUUAGUAGUUAUUACGUUUGAUCACACACGAUGAACGCGUAAUUGUAAUUUUGUAACGAAUUUCGUACAAACAAUGCAAAAUGCAAGAGUUGCAUUUUGAUUGAUAAACCGAUGUAAUUGGACUUUAUAUUAAGAGCGAGCAGAGGUAUAAAGCAAUACUUGUGUCUAUAUAUCAUGCGACAUGACUCAUCAUGCUUCCUUCGCAGGAAGAAGCAAUAUGCCUCUCAGCGGAGAUCAACGGAAGUCCAGAAAGUAUAAACGAAAGCUCAGGCGAAAUAGAAAUUCAACAAUCGAAUAGUGGUCAGUAAUUGUGAGUGCUUAUUCUAUAUGUAGAAUACUAAAACUGUCACCUUAUAAGUAGCGCAAAUUAAUGUAAAUUGUAUAAGUUGAUUCUCAUAUCUACGUGUAGCCUGAAAGCUGUUGUGAAGCUAUCUGGAGGACGUCUAUCUGGAGGUAGAUUAAGGUACAACGUCUUAAUCUAUCACGGAUGUUUCUGCAAAUAUCCCUGAAACAUCUUUCAGACAUUUGUGUUAUUUAAGCAAUAGCUUAAGUACACAUAAAGUGAUAGUUUAGAUAUUCUACGUCGCGAUUAUUAUUUACUCGAGUACGCCCAAGACUGGUACAUAGUCGUUUAAGAGACACGACGCGAGUACGUCAUAUCGCGUAAGUUUGUGCGUAUUUGUACCCUUUAUGAGGAAUAUGCGGCGACGAGUUUUGCCUCUCCUUCGUCCCAUUCAUGAUUCAUUCAAAAUCUGCAAUAACUUCAUUGUUUUUUUUUAUAAUACAAAAAUUUUUCUCGCCCGUAGCAUCAAGGCGAGGCGACUUGCAUCCAUGAGAUUGCAUUUAAUCGUUUGUUUCCGCGAAUGGAGGGGUACCUGAUCAGCACUAAAUCACGUUAGCCGCGUCAACAUAUCGGUUAUGAUAAUGAAUUGCCGCUGCGACGAGAUUAUACGUCAUUGUCACUGCGGCAAUAAUGAGAUCUAUCAUAGACAGCGAGAGAGAAACGAUUAUGUUUGUAAUGGACGUAAUGUACCUAGUAUUAGGAUCUAGAUAAGAGGCAAAGCUUCCUAUUUUUUCGCCUAGGAGAAACAUCUCGAGGAGAACUCAUUUCGCGUUUCGGCCGGGACACAAACUUUACGUGGAAUUCAUCCGACUUAGCAGCUCUGAUUGUUACAGUAGGGUCAUAAAACGGAAUCUCUGAUGAAAACGAUGCAUGUACCAUGUCCAAACAGGAUUGAUUCCGAUUUAAUUUUGCUGUGCAAAGCACGAUUGGUGAAACUGUGAAGAGAGAAAAGCAGGAAUCUCUAUCUCUUUCCAAAAUACCUUUCAUUUUAAUAUCUUGUGGGUAUAUCAGAUACUUUUUGUACAUAUACACACAUAACACACACACAUGUACACAAAAAAAUGCGCUACAUAGCCCGGUUAUAACGCGCAGGUGAUUGGAUUAGCAUAAUAUUGAUACUAAUAACAAUAUUAACGAUAGUCGUAACAUGUAAUCGUUAAGCUAAUCGGUGUUAAGAUAUUAACAAUUUGAUACUCGUUAGCUCCGAUCAUUCGCAUAAUCAUCCUUGAUAUUUUUCACUUAAUUCGGCCGUACCCGCAACCAUGGAAAAAAUAAAAAGAAAAAUGAAAAAAUGAAAGAGAAGCAUAUAAAUUAAAUUUAUAUUGUUACGAAACAGAGAGAAAGAGAAGGAAAGUUGAGGUGAAACGAGAUGCACAAGGAUUGAAUGGAUAUGGAACGAAGAAAAAACGACGAAAGACGCUCGAUAUUGUAUCAUACAAUUAAUCGCCACGAGGUGAUCUCGAAAAUCAAGAACGAAAGAUUUGGACUCUUCUCUUCAAACUGAGUCACUUUAUUGAGAAAUUUCUUUCUCACAAUUCAUUUAAUUCACUCGUUUUUUUAAGCUAAAGCCGCUAAUGUACGUUUUGUCAUUAUAUAAUACCACACACAGAGACAUACAGACACACAGACACACACACACAAAUACACAUUUUACAAGUCGCGCUACUGCCCGAUUUAUAAUGGAAUUAUUUUUAAGUGAGAAGAAGAAUAGGAUUUGAUGUAGAAUCGGACAUGAUGUUGUUGCGGUAUAUGUUCCGGCGAGGAGAAUAACGUCCCACUUGUACGCUACGUCAAUUUCGAUGUCAAUGUUGUCCUUCGUCACUCAUGUAUAUACAUAUAUGAUAAUAUAUUUAGCCGUAAGUGUAUAUUUUAUACUGAAAUUGGUAACGGUAAGAUUAAGUGCCGUCAUAUUAAUAGUGACGACUGGAAAACCAAAGGACUCGUGCGCGGUUUCCUUACAUUUGUGUUUUCGUCAGAAUACGAAAGAAUAAAAGAAAGAAAGGAAUGUUUUUUCCUCCGCAGGAUGAUUAUUUCCUCGGCGUCAUCAAAGCGGCAUAAGGCCAGAAACUCAAAUAAUCGCAGUUGUUCUUUUAAACAUAAUAUGUUUAAUAUUAUUUAGUGGUCUAUUUUAAUUAUUAUUUUUUAUUGAUUUACAUUUCCCUCUCAUGUUGCUUCAACGACACCAUAGGGAUAAAAGUGUGAUAAAUCAACAUAAUAAUUGAACAUUGUGAUUACAUGAUGAAGAAACAAGUAACAUAAAUUGAAAAAUGUUAUGUAGUCUAUUUAUGAAUAAUAUGGCCCGACUAAGUGUUUAACCAGGAAAUGGUUCAAAUUUUUAAAUCUCAUUCAAAAACGAAUCUCAAAUCGCACUUGCAUCUUUCAAAAUGUGACUUAGGCCACUUUAAAAUAAACGAUUCGGUGAAAGUUAUAUCAUUGAUCUUCUUAAGAGUAUUCUGAAUUAUGUUUACAAAUGCACAAAUGCGCUUAUACAUGCACUCUUUCUUCUACGAUACAAAAAAUAGGCCGAGAAGCCUUCGUGUACGUGACAUAUCUGUACUUUUAUUUUGAUUUUUGAUCUGUAAUUCAUCUCGAAUCUCUUUUUCCGCAACUCGAUUUUUCUAUUAUUUUAAAUUGUAAUUAGUCCGUGAUUUACAGAUCUGCGUGUUUUGCAAUCGCCCAAUCAAUCAUGCUAUGCAUCUCUCAUCAAUCGGCAUACGUUUCAAUGCAAAUCUACGAGGAAACACGCGUUUUUAUAGCUAUCGAUGUAAGGAGGACAAGUAUAACAUUAUCUAUUAAAUAAACGGCGUAUCCCGUAACCAUGAGCGAGAAUUCAAUUCAGCGAUAUCUUAAGCAACGCGGAACGCGAGACAAGGACGCGGAGAACAUAGUCCGAUAAGGAUCGGCCGACAAUCCACAAUUAAUUUCGCGCUUCUCUAAUCGAACCGACUGCGACAAUUCCUGUGUUUCGGUUCAGUUUGUCAGCGCGCGAAUGCGAAUCGUCGUUCUACGCUCAUCUACCUUGAGGGGUGAUAAUAGUCUUCACGAUAUAACAGAUAUAUAUAUAAUACGUAUAUAUACACAAUACCACGCACUAUUUUUGCGUACGGGCGUGAUAACUAUCUAGCAGGUAUGACUGUGUUAUUUGUACGAGUAAUCUCUUUCAAGGCACGGGAUGUCCUUCCACAUCGUUCAUGAAUAAAUAGAUUUCUUUACAAUA